AUCAGAAACACACAUAUUUAUGAACAAAAGCGCGUGAAAGAUUAAAAUUUGUGAAAACAACAUUUGAAAUAAAUUUUUGAUUUUCAAGCACAAAUUUUUCAAUCAAAUCGAAAUUGUAUUCUAUUUUAAAUCCCUUCUGCUUGACAAAGGAAGAAACCCAGAAUACAGAGAAGAGUGAAUGAUUAAAUGAAUAAAACGCUUCGCAAUUGGCUAUAUAAUAAAAAAGAUAAUAACUUUGCUUUUAAUGGGCACCUAAACCGAAGGAACAAAACUGUUAAGGCUGACAAGAGCAAUAUCACAAUACAACUGCAUUUUUUGCUUCUGAGCGAAUGAACUACAUGGAUUAAGGAGAAAGCUGCGGUUAACGUCAACAUCGACAUAGGCCUAAAAAAUAGAUCGUAUUCUACCAAAGGAAACGUGAGCCCGAGAGUAUGGAGCGUCUGUACUUUUGUACUGGCAGAGCAUUGAUCAUUUGUUACAAGAUGCGAUCUAGACCAGGUGUCCUCCUCUUUGAUUUGGAGAAACAACUUUCCAAUUCUAAGGAAGACAUACAAUUUUCCGGGAACUCUUCUGUCAAUAGCAUUUGAAAGUUUUUCUUUUUUUGUAUAGAGAAAACAAAACCGCACAUGGGAUCUGCGAAAACCACUUUAGCAGAAACACUGAAAACACCCCAGCCAAAUACACAAAAAGAUCGAAGCAAUCAAAAAGUCGCGGACGAAAAGAAAACGCGCACUACUCAGAGCACAGAUCGAAUACGAAUUGUCAGCAGUUCAUGGAUUGUCUGGUUUACUUCUGAGUGGACAGAUAUGAGCGAGCGUUUCUCGAAGCAAUUGUAGUUACAUAUAGCAAAAAUACUUGAAAAUGAAACUUAGCUAACGCCAUGCAUAAUCAGAGAGAAACGAGAGCUAACUUGCAGCUACGUGAUUACCCGCCUAGAAAGUAAAUAUGAAAGCGGACAACAAUCACUAAUAAAAUCUAAUU